ACUCAAAUGAAUUGACGGGGGCCCGCACAAGCGGUGGAGCAUGUUGUUUAAUACGUCACGAACCGUAGAACCUUACCAAGGCUUGACAUCCAUUGCACCGGGGUGAAAGCCUCGUACCCGUAAGGGACAGUGAGACAGGUGUUGCAUGGCUGUCGUCAGCUCGUGUCGUGAGAUGUUGGGUUAAGUCCCGCAACGAGCGCAACCCUCAUCCCAUGUUGCCAGCACAUCAAGGUGGGAACUCUUGGGAAACUGCCGGGGUAACUCGGAGGAAGGUGAGGAUGACGUCAAGUCAGCAUGGCCCUUACGCCUUGGGCUACAAACAUGCUACAAUGGACGGUAGACAGAGGGAACCGAUAUCGCGAGAUGGAGGCAAUCCCAGAAAUCCGUUCUCAGUUCGGAUUGCAGGCUGCAACUCGCCUGCAUGAAGUCGGAAUCGCUAGUAACCGCAGGUCAGCGAAACUGCGGUGAAUACGUUCCCGGGCCUUGUACACACCGCCCGU
rnacentral:rRNA from 1 species